rnacentral:rRNA from 1 species
AUUGAACGCUGGCGGCAGGCUUAACACAUGCAAGUCGAGCGGAGCGAGGGUGCUUGCACCUUAGCUUAGCGGCGGACGGGUGAGUAAUGCUUAGGAAUCUGCCUAUUAGUGGGGGACAACAUUCCGAAAGGAAUGCUAAUACCGCAUACGCCCUACGGGGGAAAGCAGGGGAUCUUCGGACCUUGCGCUAAUAGAUGAGCCUAAGUCGGAUUAGCUAGUUGGUGGGGUAAAGGCCUACCAAGGCGACGAUCUGUAGCGGGUUUGAGAGGAUGAUCCGCCACACUGGGACUGAGACACGGCCCAGACUCCUACGGGAGGCAGCAGUGGGGAAUAUUGGACAAUGGGCGGAAGCCUGAUCCAGCCAUGCCGCGUGUGUGAAGAAGGCCUUUUGGUUGUAAAGCACUUUAAGCGAGGAGGAGGCUACUUAGAUUAAUACUCUGGGAUAGUGGACGUUACUCGCAGAAUAAGCACCGGCUAACUCUGUGCCAGCCGCCGCAGUAAGAC